GGAAACAAGCCAGUAUGUACAUGGAUAAACCAGGACAAGGUCCUCACACUGUGCUUUGGGGGGAUCUGCUGCUCUGGACCAUCCAGACAGCAACUGGUGAUGGUGCAGACUGCAUCCAUUUCCAGGCAAAUGCCAACGGGCAAAGCUAGGAAGCUGGGACAUGGCAGUCCCAUGAGCAGAAGCAGAAGUAAGCCUGAUAUGCUUGCUGGGCACCCUGACUCCUGCUGUCACUUUGGGAGCUUAUUCAGACACAGAGAGGGGAGCGAUGGUGAAACUUCCCCUGGGAUUGCCUUAGUGGGGCUGAGGGGCCUGUGAUGCUCCGGGCCUGGAUGCUGUGGUGAUGCUGCUGUGGGACCCAGAGCUGGGGACAGGGCAGAGAUCAGGGUGCAGCACUACAGAGCUCCCCUCUGAAGUGGGGAGGGGAGGAGAGGGAGACCAUGUGCCCUGAGGAAGAAGCCCCCAGCCAGAGAAACAGGAUGCAGAGAGGGGCUGGAUCCAGCUUUUCUCUGGAGGCACAGGACAGGCAUCACCAAGCAAAGCUGGGGGGGCACUGGCUGGAUUGGGCCACGCUGCUUGGAGGAGUGGGUGGCACAGAGCAGCAAGCGGAGAUCGGUGACAGCAGCACUGACCUGAGGCUUACAGGAGCCUUCGGGGGAACAGGGACCUGCCAGCAGCCCAGGAUGAACAGUGACCAUGCAGGAUGCUUUUGGGAGCAGGAGGGAUCUGGGAUCCAGCCAUCCCUCAGCUGCAUGGACUGGCUUCCCACCUGCUUGAAGCCUUGAGGAAGUUCUCUCUCCAUCUUUCCUCUUCCAGAGGAAAGGCAGGAGGUGGCUUGGAGCUGCCGAGCCCUGGCCUGUGAAGGGCGGACAGGGGGACAACAAGCUCUCCUGUUACCUUUCCCGAAGAUUUGGGGUCACACAUAGACCAUGAAUGGAUCCUUUUUCAACCAGACUCUCCUGGAGCAGGGAGCUGACCCCAACAGGACCCAGGGCUUGGGGAUGCUCAUGGCCUGCUGCAAUGGGACCAGCGCGGUGCUGGCGACUGAUGGUGGCUCCUUGGUGCUGGCACCUGACGAGAGGAGCCUUUUCAUCACGAGGGUGGUGCAGAUUGCUGUCCUCUGUGUCCUCUCCUUGACUGUGAUGUUUGGCAUCUUCUUUUUGGGCUGCAACUUGCUCAUCAAAUCAGAGAGCAUGAUUAACUUUCUGGUCAAGGACCGAAGACCUUCUAAGGACGUGGGCGCUGCAAUCAUGGGACUUUACUGAAGCCACUGGGCUCUUGUAGGCAAGUGAACUGUCUGGACCUGGUGUUGAGAUGCACAUUCCCAUGUGUUUGGGGCAACUGGGGGGAGUGGGAAGGGCUGUCUCUUAUACACAUCUAGAUGUGUAUAAGAGACAGGANGUGGGAAGGGGGGGAGGGGGGAGGGUCUUGUAGUCUGUCUGUGUCCAUGGGAAAACAAACCUGUUCUUCCCAGUCAAGAAACUGUGGUGGUGAGUGGGGAAACCACCCCAGAGCUGUGUGAAGCACAAUACAUGACCAGCAUCGUGUUGCAUGCAGAAAUGGCUUAAGUUUUGCAUGAAACUUGCAGAAACAGUGAUUAUGUGGAGAUCUGGAUUCUUUACUGCUGUUACCUUGGAUACCGCUACCUGGGAUUUAGGGCUAAAAAAAAAAAAAAAAGUCAUCACAAAAAGAAAACAAAAGAACAAACUAAAGAGAGAGCAAAAUGCAGGGCACAGACCGCGUCUUUGAGAGGGGCAGGGGAAAGGAAGCACUGUGUGGGUCUUCAUAAAACAAAGUCUGCAUGCUACAAAAUGUGUCAGUCUGUUGUGUUUUGGAUGUCGAGCAUGCAUCUUCUGGUUGUUUUGUAACAGGGAAAGCAUGUUCUUCCUUUUUUUCCUGAUCUAUCCUGUUAAAUAAACUGGUACUUUCUUCUUUCACACUAUGCUGGAGGAAGAAAAGGACCCAGAUAAAUACAAAUCCCUCCCCACCCCUAAAACAAAAGCAUGCUUGUUUUUGUACACGAGCCUCUUUUUUCCAAGUGCUACAUUGUUACAGUCCUUGAGGUUUUGUAAUUUUUGAAACCCGGUGAACAUUCAGGAAAAAAAACCAACCUGUUUCAACAGAAUUUUGUGUUGUCUUUAUUCUUUCUGUGUGUGUGUGUAGUUCAGGAAUUUCAAUCCUAGUUCUAGAUGUAAUCAUCUCACCUUGAAGUGAAGUGUAAUUGGAGGUAUUUCUUUAAAGCAGAAACCACCAUCAUUUUUCACAAGUGAGUAUCACUUUCCACUAGCAAAUAAAUCCAUCAAGAACUGUGUAUUGCAGGCUUGUGUUAAAUACCUGCAAAGUGCUGAAACAGAGACUCAUAAAGAUGCUCUGAGUGCCUCUUGCAAAGCAAGAUUUCAGCCUUUGAGUUAAAACCUCCAGGUCCUCUGAUCCCGAUGAGCUGUCAAAACCGAAUUAUGUGAGAGGAGGAAGACUCCUGACCUUUGUUCUGUGAUGGAAUUACAGCUCUGGCUGUGGGUGUGAGGUAGAAAUAAUUUGUAUUUUGUUGCACCAACAAUAUUCCUGUGAGGUUCACUUCUGUAGUUGGAAAGUAAUCCUGGAUACUGGAGGAGCUGAUGAACUGAGCUACUUGGAUGUAAAUCUAGAGGAACAGAUCUUUGCCUUUCCCAGAGGGAAAAAUGGGAUUAGAGAAUGUUUUGUAAUUAAUCACUAUGUGCUGAGCACCUUCUCCAGGUUGCCACAUGAUGCAGAGCAGGACCAGUGUGGUGCUGUCUCUGGUUGCUCCCACUGACCUGUUGCCUGUGUCAGCCUUAGGAGCACACUGACGACAUGGCAGCAGGGCCAGAAUUUGGGGUUCAAAACUCUGAAAUGCCCUGUUGGUGCCAGUGGAACUGCUGAAGAGGCAGUUUUUAGGAGCACGUGCAGGUCUGCAGACCUGAGCCACCUUCUCAGUGCAGAGGGUUUGCUGCCCUGCUGCCACAUGUAAAGUGGCCUCACACAGCAGCCUGGAUGGGGAUUUUGGUCCCUGCUGCUGCGAGGGAUGUUGUGGCCAUUGAUCUCCUGGAACAGAUCGCUCAGAGAACUGGCACAAGGUGCCCAGAGCAGCUGUGGCUGCCCCUGGAUCCCUGGCAGUGCCCAAGGCCAGUCUGGACGGGGCUGGGAGCAGCCUGGGACAGUGGAAGGUGUCCCUGCCAUGGCAGGGGUGGCACUGGAGGGGCUUUAAGAUCUCUCCCAGCCCAAACCAUUCCAGGAUUCCAUGAUUCCGUGGUCUCUUUGCAUGAGUGAAAACCACCCCUACUGUGGAAGCAC
rnacentral:lncRNA from 13 species